rnacentral:lncRNA from 1 species
CUCGAGGGGAGGCUGGAGGAGGAGCCACAGCCCGCAGUCACUGGGCUGAGCAGGAGGAACAUUCAAAAGGCCUGGGAGCACAGGGUGGGGUGCUGGGCAGUGAGACCUUCCCCUGGCCUCCAUGUCAUGGACAGAAGGUGGACGCCUUGUCACAAGCUGACCACAUCAGAUGCUCUCUUUCGGGACUUUGGGACUGAGAAAGAGAGAGGUGAGUCAGUCCCCGUGUGCAGCUGGAAAGGCAUCAGGUAACCCUGGGUGGGGUCUGAGGAUGGCAGGAAAAGCCUGUCUGUGAAGGGAAGGGAAGUGAGAGUGGGGAGCAGGGAUGGAGGGAUGCUGGGAUGGAGGAUGGAGGGCACAGGGAUACAGGAAUGGAGGGAUGGAAAAAUAGAGGGAUGCAGGAAUGGAGGGAUGAAGAGGUGCAGGGAUACUGGGGUGGAGGGAUGCAGAGAACGGAGGCAUGCAGGGAUGCUGCGAUGGAGGAAUGCAGGGAUGGAGAAUGUAAGGGUACAGGGAUGGAGGAUGGAGGGGUGCAGGGAUGCAGAGAUGGAGGAUGGAGGGGUACAACGAAGGAGGGGUGCAGGGAUGGAGGGAUGGAGGGGUGCAGGGACAGAGGGAUGCAGGGAUGGAGGGAUGGAAGGGUACAGGGAUGGAGGGUGCAGGGAUGGAAGGAUGGAGGGGUACAGGGAUGGAGGGAUGGAGGGGUACAGGGAUGGAGGGUGCAGGGAUGGAAGGAUGGAGGGGUACAGGGAUGGAGGGGUGCAGGGAUGGGGGACGGAGGGGUACAGGGAUGGAGGGUUACAGGGAUAGAGGGAGGCUCCUCCUUCAGUGCCCCAUGGUAUUCCUGGCCUAGUUCCUGCCCUGCUGAGGGAGGUACCCUGGGUCCCUGGAGCAAAGGCC